UUUCAGGUAAAAUGGAAAGCAUAACAACCACAAAUUUGCAUAGCAUCAUAGUUUCCUUUAUGAAUAUGUGCAAUACUAAUCAUCAAACCAUAGUGCACAAUGAUAUAUGUUACACAGAUUAAACAUGAGACCCUUUUGUUUGGUUGUUCCUUCUCUAAAUCUCAAUUUCCCACUCCAUAAAAGAAACCAAUUAUCCUAAGUACAAGCACUGCAAAAUUCAAAACUAUACUGUAAUUUUUCUUUUUCACAUUACAAAAUCCAUUCUAUCACCGAGUCACAACCUCACACAAUUAGAUAUGGAGCUCGGCAAUAACUGAAUAUGCAGCAACUCUAUGGAAACAACCUACUUUUGACUUGGCAUGCAAAGAAAAUCUUUCAUAUCAAACAACAGGCUGGGAAUUUGAUGCCAAGUUAAAAAAUUCCCUUCACUUGUGGUAAGGAUGGUACCUCGCUGUAACAGCACUACCACCAUUCUCACUGCCCCCGUACCCCUUGCUACUGCCAUGACCACCAUGUAAGGCACCACCAGUUCCAUUUCCAUAUCCCUUACCAGUGCCAAAACUACCAGUAUCACUGCUUCUUCCAUAGACUUUACCACCACCAUAUCCAGCAGUGGUGCCAUAGCCACUAGGGGCACCGUAACCACUGCCUCCAUAUCCACUGCUACCAAACAUCAUGGGCCCACCAAAACCAAACCCAUAACCAUAUCCACCAUAAAAACCAUUGCUGCUUCCAUAGGCCCCGUAAGCUCCAUAACCAUUGUAGCCACCAUAUCCAUUAUACAUGCCAUACCCUCCGCCGAUUUUCCCACCAUACAGGUCUCCCAAACCAUGGCCAGCACCAUUGCUGAAUCCAGAAUGAGGCUUUGCAGCAGAGCCGUAAUCACCACCAUUUCUUUUUGGUACAGCCUUCUUUAUUUCCACCUGUUUACCUCCAAGUUCAUGUGCCCCGCCCUCUGAGAAGAUCUGUUCAACAGAAUCUUCACUGUCAAAAGUGACAAAACCAAAGCCCCUAGACCGCCCAGUUUUAUGAUCCAGCAUAAUCUGGUGCUCAACAAUGUUUCCAUAAACAGAAAAGUACUCCUUUAACUCAUCUUCAGUUAGAGCAGGUGGUAUUCCACCAACAAAUAUUUUCUUGGCUCUUAUAACCCCUUUAACGUCCAUAUCCUCCCUUGGAACUGUCCUCUUCACUUCAACCUGACAUGAGAACGCACCAGAAUAAGCUCCAAAUCCAAAAUACUAAAAUUUUUUUAUCACUCAUGAGGGGCAAAAAGAGGCAAACAAAAAUUAUUGGAAACUUUAAUGUUCAGUGUCAUUAUGGAACAAGAAUUUUACUGCUCUGCCAUCUAUAACGUGGUCUUCCUCCAAAACCCUAUUAGCAACUACUGGGUCAGCAAAUGUUACAAAUCCAAAUCCUCUUGGCCUUCCAGAAUGUCUAUCCAUCAUGAUUACAGAGUCGGUGAUUUCUCCAUACUUGCUGAAGUAAUCCAUGAAUGUCUCUGAAACCAAAUCAACGUGAGAAAAAUUAUGAUGAAAGCAGAGCUGAUAAUACAUCAAAAGACUUAAAUGGCCUAAAUUAUAUAUAUAAAGGCACUUAGUAUAUGUAGAACAAAAGGAUGUGAUAAAUGAACCACUUCACCAGUAGACAUCAAAAUGCUGCUACUCUUUAUGCCUGUCUAUACUUAUCGCCUUAUGAAUAUUACUCUCUCAAACAAAGAAAAAAAAACCAUAUUACUUGCUUUCCUCUAAUUUGCUGUUGUUGUUUGAGGUGAGUUUCACAGAAACUUUCCACAAAAUAACAAAUGGCAAAAGUGUGUAUAUGAAUAUAGAUUCACAUGGCAUGGCAAUCAGUAUCACAAAGCUUUAUUUCAAGCUCCAUGGUCUCACUUUGGCUGGCUAAAAAUUAGCACACAGGGUUUUGACGUGUCUUGGAAAAGUUACAACCCUGUUAAACCUAUCUUCAGUGUAAUUCCACUCUAAGAACCAAUCAAAAGAGCAAGAGACAGAAUCAAGCAUAAUAAGUUUCUUCUCCUAAGCAUUCUAGCUAGAAGGAAACUUUUUUUUUUUUUUGGGUCAAUUCCACCCAAAAGGCCUCAGUAAAAAAUUUCCAGUCCAAGUUCAGUACAAUGACUCAAAUUGUCAGCAAGCAGGUGACUAAUUUUCAAUAAUGAGUUCCAUUUUGAGCAAUUAUCAAGCAGAAAAGAAAAUUUUGAAUUACAACUCUAAUAUAUUGUCAUUAAAUGGCUAAAUAGAGUAACUACAAUAUAAUCUAUAGACUCCUCUCAUCAUACAAAAUACUAUAAGACUAUGAAGAGCUACAGGCGACAGCCUACCAUGUCAUUUGUGAUUCUAAUUUCUAAGAGCAUAUGAAGUCUCUUAACAUGGUGAAAUACUUAUGGUAUGGAAUUUCAACAACAUGGGGAUGCUAAAUCAAUAAUUCAAAAGUAAUGCAUCAUUCUCUUCAAUGACACAUACCAAUGUAAAACAAACAAGAUUACUGGAAUACUUGAAUUACACUUAUGCAUGUGUGAUCCAGUUACUAGUUCAACUCUAAAAUGAAAAUCACAACUCAGGAAACUACACAACAACUCAUAACUGGUCAAUGAAAAAUAUAUCGGUAGCUAAUCAAAAUGCAAUAAACAACUUAAUUAUGAAAAGCAUAUAGCAUUAAAUUUUUAUUGCCCAAUCAAAUCCAACAAUAUUAAUUAUUUAAAAGUAGCUCAAAAGAAAUUCGAGCGGCACCUUCAGUAGUUUCCCAUGAGACGCCACCAACAAAGAGUUUUCUACCAACAAGAAUAAGAAGAAAAACCAAUAAUUAUUUCUCCAGUCAGGCUCAAACCUUAGGCGGCGAGACCCUAAAAAAAUCCUAAACAAUAAACCUACAUAAACUAACCCAGGGAAGGAAGAAGAAGAGUCGCGAUUGUGAUGACUUAGGGAUUGCUUUCUAGCGUUGCCUGCACCGCCCAUUUGCUGUUUUUGUUGAGUAUUUUCAUAAUAAUAAUCUUCUUCUUCGCCGUUAUAAGCUAAUAUUUUGUCUCCAAAUUGCAUCCGCUGUUGCCCAUAAUCAUAAUCCAUUGAUUGAUUGUCUGGCCUAGCUUUCAAAAAACCUAUCAAAAACAAGAAAAGAAAAAGAGCCCUGAAAUCGAACAAUGGCUAACCCUAAUUGCGCAUCGGAAUUUGAAUUAAAUAUCUAAAAUAGGAUAAAAACCGUUGAACUGUACUCGGCUAGAUAGAGGAAUCCUCAGUAGCCGGUAGCUAGGGUUUUGGGAGGGUAAGAAGGAGGGUUUUUGAUUUUGAUUCAAUGUUGCAGAGAAUAAACAAACGGAUUUCAAUUUUAA
rnacentral:misc_RNA from 1 species